CGCCGUGGUGUAGCUACAAGCUAAUUUACGUAUUGGAAAUUUUGUAUCCAAACUUAUAUACACUCAAAUGUAGUUUGAAAAUUAAUGUUCUAAUCAAAUUUUUAUAUAUUCCUGAUAGAGCUGUUGAGAAAAAGUUAGAUGAAAAUAGCCAUGAUAUUUUUUUGUUAGAAAGCACCCGAAUUGAUGAGAACAGUUCCCGUAGACCACCAAUGGGGAAUUUAGCUGAAAGUCCUAUCAAACAGAUACCGGUACUUCGAAUAUAUGCGCAAGUUGCAAGGUUGGUUGGAGAAAUUCCGGCAAUUUCUGAACCAACAUUUCCGAAGGUGGCUAGACAAACCAAUAGAUAUGAUUGUGGGAUAUUUGUGAUUAGAAUACUGCCGGAAAAUCAUGGAAGGGGACACACUGGUGGGUCAUUAUUUACAAAAUCCAGACAAGAACCCCAAGCAUCCUCUGCAGCUUGGGGUGGAAAAUAAAUCAUGUUGCAGAAUCAACAAAAAGGUGGCUAGACAUACGAACGGGUACGAUUGUGGGAUAUUCGUCAUAGAAUACUGCCGAAAAAUCAUGGAAGAGUGACGAAAUGGAAGAUAUGGAAAUAGAAUAUUGUGGGGAAAAAGUUUGUCAAGAAAAUGAACGAGGGAUUAAAAGGCCAUGGCCGCUUGAUAUUAAUGAUGAAGAAGUCAGAAAGGAAAGACUAACAAGAAGUACUGGAUGCCAUAAACUAACUAUUCAUUGUAUUAGAGCAGACACUUAUGCGUGUUCAGUGGCGAAAACAGAAAGUUCUAGCAUAGCUCAAUGUGUUGCGAAAAGACGUCGUCGGGCAAAGGAUACCAGGGA